rnacentral:rRNA from 1 species
CUCCGGUUGAUCCCGCCGGACCCGACUGCUAUCAGAGUGGGGCUAAGCCAUGCGAGUCGACGUAGCAAUGCGUGGCGAACGGCUCAGUAACACGUAGUCAACAUGCCCAGGGGACGUGGAUAACCUCGGGAAACUGAGAAUAAACCACGAUAGGUCACGAUUUCUGGAAUGGAUCAUGGCCUAAAUCUACAUGGCCCCUGGAUUGGACUGCGGCCGAUCAGGCUGUUGGUGAGGUAAUGGCCCACCAAACCUAUAACCGGUACGGGCUCUGAGAGGAGAAGCCCGGAGAUGGGCACUGAGACAAGGGCCCAGGCCCUACGGGGCGCAGCAGGCGCGAAACCUCUGCAAUAGGCGAAAGCCUGACAGGGUUACUCUGAGUGAUUUCCGCUAAGGGGAUCUUUUGGCACCUCUAAAAAUGGUGCAGAAUAAGGGGUGGGCAAGUCUGGUGUCAGCCGCCGCGGUAAUACCAGCACCCCGAGUGGUCGGGACGAUUAUUGGGCCUAAAGCAUCCGUAGCCGGUUCUGCAAGUCUUCCGUUAAAUCCAGCCGCUCAACGGAUGGGCCGCGGAGGAUACUACAGGACUAGGAGGCGGGAGAGGCAAGCGGUACUCAGUGGGUAGGGGUAAAAUCCUUUGAUCCAUUGAAGACCACCAGUGGCGAAGGCGGCUUGCCAGAACGCGCUCGACGGUGAGGGAUGAAAGCUGGGGGAGCAAACCGGAUUAGAUACCCGGGUAGUCCCAGCUGUAAACGAUGCAGACUCGGUGAUGGGCUAGCCUUGUGCCAGCCCAGUGCCGCAGGGAAGCCGUUAAGUCUGCCGCCUGGGGAGUACGGUCGCAAGACUGAAACUUAAAGGAAAUGGCGGGGGAGCA